UGGCUCAGAACGAACGCUGGCGGCGUGGCUAAAGCAUGCAAGUCGAACGCGAAAGCCCCUUCGGGGGCCGGUAGAGUGGCGAAAGGGCGAGUAAUGCAUGGGUAACGUACCCUCGGCACGGGGAUAGCUGCGGGAAACUGCAGGUAAUACCCGAUGAGACCACGGUGUCAUAAGACACAGGGGUCAAAUGUAGGGUUUCGGCCUGUCGGCCGAGGAGCGGCCCAUGUCCUAUCAGCUUGUUGGUGAGGUAACGGCUCACCAAGGCGACGACGGGUACCGGGACUGAGAGGUUGGCCCGGCGCAUUGGGACUGAGACACUGCCCAGACUCCUACGGGAGGCUGCAGCACCGAAUCUUCCGCAAUGGGCGCAAGCCUUACGGAGCGACGCCGCGUGUGGGAUGAAGCCCCCCGGGUGUAAACCACUGUCAGGGGUUAGCAAGUGAAAGGGGUUAAUACCCCCUGGAAUUGAGCAGCCCCAGAGGAAGCCACGGCUAACUUCGUGCCAGCAGCCGCUGUAAUACGAAGGUGGCAAGCGUUGUUCGGAAUCACUGGGCUUAAAGAGCACGUAGGCGGUCUAUCAAGCGUCUUGUGAAAUCCCUCGGCUCAACCGAGGAAUGGCUGGGCGAACUGGUAGACUUGAGGCAGGUAGGGGCGCGCGGAACUCUUGGUGGAGCGGUGGAAUGCGUAGAUAUCAAGAGGAACGCCAGUGGCGAAAGCGGCGCGCUGGGCCUGUCCUGACGCUGAGGUGCGAAAGCCAGGGGAGCGAACGGGAUUAGAUACCCCGGUAGUCCUGGCCCUAAACGAUGUCCACUAGGUCGGAGGUUCUCUGACGUUCUUCUGGCCGAAACGAAAGCGUUAAGUGGACCGCCUGGGGAGUACGGUCGCAAGGCUAAAACUCAAAGGAAUUGACGGGGGCUCACACAAGCGGUGGAGCAUGUUGCUUAAUUCGAUGCAACGCGAAGAACCUUAUCCUGGGCUUGACAUGUUUGGAUGCCCAUCUGGAAACAGAGUAGGCUGCCCUUCGGGGUGAAACUUGCACAGGUGCUGCAUGGCUGUCGUCAGCUCGUGUCGUGAGAUGUUGGGUUAAGUCCCGUAACGAGCGAAACCCUUGUCGCUAGUUGCCAGCGCGUAAUGGCGGGGACUCUAGCGAGACUGCCGGUGUUAAACCGGAGGAAGGUGGGGAUGACGUCAAGUCCUCAUGGCCUUUAUGCCCAGGGCUGCAAACGUGCUACAAUGGUCCGUACAAACCGACGCAAGACCGCGAGGUGGAGCAAAUCGGAAAAAGCGGGCCUCAGUUCGGAUUGGAGUCUGCAGCUCGACUCCAUGAAGUCGGAAUCGCUAGUAAUCGCGUAUCAGCGUGACGCGGUGAAUGUGUUCCUGAGCCUUGUACACACCGCCCGUCAAGUCAUGGAAGCCGGGAGCGCCCGAAGUCGGGACAUUUCAGUCCUGCCGAAGGUGAGCUCGGUGACUGGGACUAAGUCGUAACAAGGUA
rnacentral:rRNA from 1 species